UUAGGGGUGUCAGAGGUGUAUGAGGUUGCUUUAGGUGCAAUAAACGGGUGUAGACAUCCCCCCUAAA
rnacentral:tRNA from 1 species